CCCUAACCCUAACCCUAACCAUAUCAGAUAGUUACCAGGGUACGUUCCGGCAGUACCCUGGGGGACAUAGACCCUAUGAGCCGCACCACAUACAUGUUCAUACUCUACAUUGUGCUCACGGUCUCAUCUAACCAGAGGAAGCUCACAGGCUGUGGAUUCUCAAGAAAAUAUAUGAAUAGACCCAUCUCUACAGGUCACACCUCGAACGACAGUGCCAAUGUACCUCAAAACUGCACACUACAAUUGCAGUAGAAAGUCCGAACAGUUCACAACAUCCUUAGAAGAAGAUAUCACUCGCUCCGUGGAUGAACACCAAACAGUAACAGUUACUUUCUAUAUAAUUAUAUAUAUCCGAGGCGGGGACAAAACGCGGGAAAAUUAAUGCGCUAUUGAGCAUUAAUAGCUGUCACGGUUCACUGACUCACAAACCUUCACACGUACACACGCGCACGCGCACGCACACGCACACACACACGCACGCACGCACUCGCUCGCUACAUACACACACUCGCACCCGCGCGAUGACGCACCAUGGCAAGAUGCACGGCAAAGUCUGAGACGUACAAACUGUUUCUACGCGGUCACACCUCGUCCGGUCACCGCGCUGCUGUCACGUCGGUCUGAGCAGACGCGGUUGACACCGAUAGUCUCACUGGUUGACACAACGCGAAAAAUCUACGUACACAUCCUUGUUCAAGAUUCGGUACAUCGCGAAACAACACACUUUUCACAAUCGUGACGAUAGUAACUUUAAACAUUUUUGGCCCGCAAACAGAUGUGACGUAAACAUUCGAAUUGUGUGAAUGGGUGUUAUAGCUGAGAAGUCAUAUCUCGAGCGAGUUAAACACAAGUAAAUAACGAAAAUUUCCACUUUGGCCCUACAACGUUGAGAUUUUCCAUACGAAUGACCAAUGCAAUGACACCCUAUAAUUAUAUGUUGGUAUUGAGUGGGCACGGCUGAAACCCUAAAGUAGCACGAUCUGUUAGUAGAAUGGCGAUCGUAACAUAGAACUGUUGGUAAUUCACCACGCAAUGUAUGUAACACUGCAAACAACGUUCACCGCCCGAAAACACUCACCAACGAGCAUUCUCGAUUUUUCCCAUCAGUAAACUAACUACAGGACAGAGCUUGCAUUUCAAAGUUGCGUCAAAAGAUUAUUACCAGUCGCUUCCGCGCAUCGGAAAUGGCCCAUCCGUGGAGAAAAUAGGCAGCAGAAACUUCCCCUGCCUGUGCGUCACGGCACGCAUGUACAAUUCCAAGUACAUUACACAACUUUGUAGACUCUAGCGGGAACGAUUUGAGCAAAUAUACAAACGUCAUGAUUUUCUGAUCGAUACACGCUAAGACAAACAAAAAUGUGAACACGCACCAGCCGCAUCUGCCACGGAUCUUCAUUUCAGAUCCGCUGGAAGCAAAGGUGAUGCACCCGAUACAGCCGUGAGACCAAUAAAUAGUGAUCAUGCCAACAGAAAUAUACAUAAAAACCGUCUUAAUAAAUUACACACACGAUGGUUGAGGUUUAAUUAAGGUAUGACAACUUGCGACCUACGACGAAAAAGUGGGCCAGAAUUUAAAUUAAUACACACACACGCAUGCACGCACGCACAACACAC
rnacentral:lncRNA from 1 species